rnacentral:rRNA from 1 species
UACGUAGGGGGCAAGCGUUGUCCGGAUUUAUUGGGCGUAAAGAGCGUGUAGGCGGCCAAGCAGGUCAGCUGUGAAAACUCGAGGCUCAACCUCGAGACGUCGGUUGAAACCGCUUGGCUAGAGUCCGGAAGAGGAGAGUGGAAUUCCCGGUGUAGCGGUGAAAUGCGCAGAUAUCGGGAAGAACACCCGUGGCGAAGGCGAGUCCCUGGACAACUCCUGACACUGAGGCACGAAAGCUAGGGGAGCAAACAGG